rnacentral:rRNA from 1 species
GUGGGGAAUUUUGGACAAUGGGCGCAAGCCUGAUCCAGCAAUGCCGCGUGCAGGAAGAAGGCCUUCGGGUUGUAAACUGCUUUUGUACGGAACGAAACGGCUCUGGUUAAUACCCGGGGCUAAUGACGGUACCGUAAGAAUAAGCACCGGCUAACUACGUGCCAGCAGCCGCGGUAAUACGUAGGGUGCAAGCGUUAAUCGGAAUUACUGGGCGUAAAGCGUGCGCAGGCGGUUUUGUAAGACAGGCGUGAAAUCCCCGGGCUCAACCUGGGAAUGGCGCUUGUGACUGCAAAGCUGGAGUGCGGCAGAGGGGGAUGGAAUUCCGCGUGUAGCAGUGAAAUGCGUAGAUAUGCGGAGGAACACCGAUGGCGAAGGCAAUCCCCUGGGCCUGCACUGACGCUCAUGCACGAAAGCGUGGGGAGCAAACAGGAUUAGAAACCCCUGUAGUCC